rnacentral:rRNA from 1 species
AGAGUUUGAUCAUGGCUCAGAACGUACGCUGGCGGCACGCCUUAUACAUGCAAGUCGAACGAAGUAGCAAUACUUAGUGGCAGACGGGUGAGUAACAUGUGGGUAUCUUCCCUUUGGUGAGGAAUAACACGAGGAAACUUGUGCUAAUACCUCAUAAGUCUUUACGGAGAAAGCUUUAUGCGCCAAUGGAUGAGCCUGCACUUGAUUAGUUAGUUGGUGGGGUAAAGGCCUACCAAGACUUUGAUCAAUAGCUGAUUUGAGAGGAUGAUCAGCCACAUUGGGACUGAGACACGGCCCAAACUCCUACGGGAGGCAGCAGUAAGGAAUCUUGCACAAUGGAGGAAACUCUGAUGCAGCGAUGCCGCGUGAGUGAAGAAGGCCUUUGGGUUGUAAAGCUCUUUCGUCGGGGAAGAAAAUGACUGUACCCGAAUAAGAAGGUCCGGCUAACUUCGUGCCAGCAGCCGCGGUAAUACGAAGGGACCUAGCGUAGUUCGGAAUUACUGGGCUUAAAGAGUUCGUAGGUGGUUAAAAAAGUUGGUGGUGAAAUCCCAGAGCUUAACUCUGGAACUGCCAUCAAAACUUUUUAGCUAGAGUUUGAUAGAGGAAAGCAGAAUUUCUAGUGUAGAGGUGAAAUUCGUAGAUAUUAGAAAGAAUACCAAUUGCGAAGGCAGCUUUCUGGAUCAUUACUGACACUGAGGAACGAAAGCAUGGGUAGCGAAGAGGAUUAGAUACCCUCGUAGUCCAUGCCGUAAACGAUGUGUGUUAGACGUUGGAAAUUUAUUUUCAGUGUCGCAGCGAAAGCGAUAAACACAC